AUGGAGUCUGGUGCUGGAGAUGCCUGCACAUCAUUGUCCAGAAAUGAAAUCUACGGCAUCGUCGUUAACAGCGGCGAUCGAGACCAGUACCUGUGCUGUACAAGCGGCAGAGGAGGCGCGUUCAAUGUAUGCAUUACAAACGCUUCAGACGUGUGGAGCACAGAGUUUACCAGCGAAAAGCUGUCUGAACAUAGACGUCAGCAUGGGGUCACCAGCACAGAGGAAUACAAAACCAAACUCCGGAAAGCCCUGCAGGGUGUGAGCGCCUCCCUGUUGGUGGAGGGCAGUACAGCCACACUGCGGCUGGGGAGGGAUGACGACCCCAGAGGCCUGACCUUCCACCUCAUAAAGCUGCCUGAUGCCAAGGCGAGGCUGGAGCUCCAGGCGGUGCUGUUCGGGAUGGCGGGCCGGGUCGGUGUGCUGGAGCAGCGCCUGGAGAGAGUCACUAGAUCUUACCCCACCUCUAGAGGGAGCCGCCACCACCAGCCCUGUGAAGAGCCAGCAGCGAGCAACAGCAGCAGAUUUUGAGCCCAGGAUGCACGCGACCGGAGGAGGCAGGACAUCCGCCGCAGUCAAGAAGCGGCUCCCAGGGGCCUCUCUCAUUAACCCGGGGAGUAAAAGGUAACAGCUCCCAGGGGCCUCUCUCAUUAACCCGGGGAGUAAAAGAAAAGUGAAAGCGACUGGGGUUGCUUUUGAAGACAGUGAGGAGAUGAAACAGUGAACCUGGAAAGCGCUCUGCAGCGUUCAUCACGCUGCGGAGAACAGGUUCAGCACCCGACAGCAGAGAGUACUCCUGCGCUUCACUGUGUGGAGCUGCUGUCUCUUGAAGUUUCAUUCUGACGUCACUAAAGCCUUCCUUCGCUCCGAUGGAGUUCAUGACUGUGUGAUAGACAUGCAGGACUCCUGCUUUGUAGGAUAAAGAUGAACUUGGAUCGGAAGAACCAUAUCAAUUACUUUUUAUACAAAUUUUAGCUUGUGCUUUUUAAACCCAAUGGAUUUUAAACCUGAUUUCAUUUUUUU